CAUCUUCAGAAGAAGAACAACAUAUAGCAACUGGGUCUAAAGUGAAUUUGACUAAUAUCCUGAAAAGGAUAUAAAUAAGCCAGCUAUGAAGCAGAAAUGAGGAUCCCUACCUCAUUCAGUGCACAGGUUGUGGACCUUCUCUGGGGAUAGACCAGAGCUGUCUAGUGAACGAUACUGUUGUCUGUAGGACCCCCUCAUAUGUUACAGAAGUUGGAAGAUCAGAUCAAAUUAGGUGAAAAAAUUGACUUCCAGGCUGAUGUCAUGCCAGCCUGACUUGUGCCUAGAAGAAAUUUGUUAAGGAGUUACCCAAGAUGCAGAAAAUAAGCAGCUGUAAUAUACUGUUGACUGCUUUCCCAUAUGCUUCACCACCAUGUCUA